rnacentral:rRNA from 1 species
GAUGAACGCUAGCGGCAGGCCUAACACAUGCAAGUCGAGGGGCAGCAUGGUUAAUAGCAAUAUUAACUGAUGGCGACCGGCGCACGGGUGCGUAACACGUAUGCAAUCUACCUUGUACAGGGGCAUAACUUCGAGAAAUCGGUGCUAAUUCCCCAUAAUAUUGAGAUGUGGCAUCACAUUUUAAUUAAAGCUGAGGCGGUACAAGAUGAGCAUGCGUCCAAUUAGCUAGUAGGUGGGGUAACGGCUCACCUAGGCGACGAUUGGUAGGGGUUCUGAGAGGAUGAUCCCCCACACUGGUACUGAGACACGGACCAGACUCCUACGGGAGGCAGCAGCGAGGAAUAUUGCGCAAUGGACGAAAGUGUGACGCAGCCAUGCCGCGUGAAGGAUCGACGGCCCUAUGGGUUGUAAACUUCUUUUGUAUAGGAAUAAACCCUCGUUCGUGAACGAGGCUGAAGGUACUAUAAGAAUAAGCACCGGCUAACUCCGUGCCAGCAGCCGCCGUAACAC